AGGCUCACUUCAGCAGCACAUACGCUAAAAUUGGAAGGCUUUGGAGAAGACUAGCAUGGGCCCUGAGCAAGGAUGACACACAAAUUCAUGAAGUGUUCCAUAUUAAA
ensembl:snRNA U6 U6 spliceosomal RNA